rnacentral:tRNA from 2 species
GGGGGCGUCGUAUAACGGUAGUACAGCGGUCUCCAAAACCGCUUGCGUAGGUUCAACUCCUACCGCCCCUGCCA